rnacentral:tRNA from 1 species
GGAUGUGGCCAAGUCGGUUAAGGCACCAGACUUUGACUCUGGAACCGUGGGUUCGAGUCCCGCCAUCCC